GACGAACGCUGGCGGCGUGCCUAACACAUGCAAGUCGAACGGAGCUACGAGAAGCUUGCUUUUCUUAGCUUAGUGGCGAACGGGUGAGUAACGCGUGAGUAACCUGCCCUGGAGAGGGGGAUAACAGUUGGAAACGACUGCUAAUACCGCAUAAGCUAACGAACCGGCUUCGGAUAGAGGGAAAAGGAUUUAUUCGCUUCAGGAUGGACUCGCGUGCAAUUAGCUAGUUGGUGAGGUAACGGGCCACCAAGGCGACGAUUGGUAGCCGGGCUGAGAGGUUGAGCGGCCACAUUGGGACUAAGACACGGCCCAGAAUCCUACGGGAGGCAGCAGUGGGGGAUAUUGCACAAUGGGGGAAACCCUGAUGCAGCUACGCCGCGUGGAGGAAGAAGGUUUUCGGAUUGUAAACUCCUGUUGUUAGGGACGAUAAUGACGGUACCUAACAAGAAAGCACCGGCUAACUACGUG
rnacentral:rRNA from 1 species